GGAGAGUUUGAUCCUGGCUCAGGACGAACGCUGGCGGCGUGCCUAACACAUGCAAGUCUACGGGAAAUCUCCUGCUUGCAGGAGAGAGUAUAGUGGCGAACGGGUGAGUAACGCGUAGGUAAUCUACCUCUGGGUUGGGGAUAACCUCGAGAAAUCGGGGCUAAUACCGAAUGAUGUCCUACCUAUUAGUUUAGGUAGGAUUAAAGAUGGCUUCGGCUAUCGCCCAGAGAUGAGCCUGCGUCCCAUUAGCUAGUUGGUAGGGUAAUGGCCUACCAAGGCGACGAUGGGUAGCCGGCCUGAGAGGGUGGUCGGCCACACUGGCACUGAGACACGGGCCAGACUCCUACGGGAGGCAGCAGUGAGGAAUAUUGGGCAAUGGCCGCAAGGCUGACCCAGCGACGCCGCGUGAGGGAAGAAGCUCUACGGAGUGUAAACCUCUGUUAGGAGGGACGAAAGGCACCGAUGUGAAUAAUAUCGGUGAGAUGACGGUACCUCCAGAGAAAGCCCCGGCUAACUCCGUGCCAGCAGCCGCGGUAAUACGGGGGGGGCGAGCGUUGUCCGGAAUCACUGGGCGUAAAGGGCGCGUAGGCGGGAUGGUAAGUCGGUGGUGAAAAUUCCCGGCUCAACCGGGGACUUGCCACCGAAACUGCCAUUCUUGAGUGCGGGAGAGGGAGGUGGAAUUCCUGGUGUAGCGGUGAAAUGCGUAGAUAUCAGGAAGAACACCGGUAGCGAAGGCGGCCUCCUGGCCCGUCACUGACGCUGAGGCGCGAAAGCGUGGGGAGCAAACAGGAUUAGAUACCCUGGUAGUCCACGCCGUAAACGAUGGG
rnacentral:rRNA from 1 species